rnacentral:rRNA from 1 species
GCAUCAUGAGUCCGCAUGUUCACAUGAUUAAAGGUAUUCCGGUAGACGAUGGGGAUGCGUUCCAUUAGAUAGUAGGCGGGGUAACGGCCCACCUAGUCUUCGAUGGAUAGGGGUUCUGAGAGGAAGGUCCCCCACAUUGGAACUGAGACACGGUCCAAACUCCUACGGGAGGCAGCAGUGAGGAAUAUUGGUCAAUGGGCGCAGGCCUGAACCAGCCAAGUAGCGUGAAGGAUGACUGCCCUAUGGGUUGUAAACUUCUUUUAUAAAGGAAUAAAGUCGGGUAUGUAUACCCGUUUGCAUGUACUUUAUGAAUAAGGAUCGGCUAACUCCGUGCCAGCAGCCGCGGUAAUACGGAGGAUCCGAGCGUUAUCCGGAUUUAUUGGGUUUAAAGGGAGCGUAGAUGGAUGUUUAAGUCAGUUGUGAAAGUUUGCGGCUCAACCGUAAAAUUGCAGUUGAUACUGGAUAUCUUGAGUGCAGUUGAGGCAGGCGGAAUUCGUGGUGUAGCGGUGAAAUGCUUAGAUAUCACGAAGAACUCCGAUUGCGAAGGCAGCCUGCUAAGCUGCAACUGACAUUGAGGCUCGAAAGUGUGGGUA